AACGAACGCUGGCGGCAUGCCUAACACAUGCAAGUCGAACGAUCCCUUCGGGGAUAGUGGCGCACGGGUGCGUAACGCGUGGGAACCUGCCCUUAGGUUCGGAAUAACUCAGAGAAAUUUGAGCUAAUACCGGAUAAUGUCUUCGGACCAAAGAUUUAUCGCCUUUGGAUGGGCCCGCGUUGGAUUAGCUAGUUGGUGGGGUAAAGGCCUACCAAGGCGACGAUCCAUAGCUGGUCUGAGAGGAUGAUCAGCCACACUGGGACUGAGACACGGCCCAGACUCCUACGGGAGGCAGCAGUGGGGAAUAUUGGACAAUGGGCGAAAGCCUGAUCCAGCAAUGCCGCGUGAGUGAUGAAGGCCUUAGGGUUGUAAAGCUCUUUUACCCGGGAUGAUAAUGACAGUACCGGGAGAAUAAGCACCGGCUAACUCCGUG
rnacentral:rRNA from 1 species